rnacentral:rRNA from 1 species
AUUGAACGCUGGCGGCAGGCCUAACACAUGCAAGUCGAGCGGAUGAAGGGAGCUUGCUCCUGGAUUCAGCGGCGGACGGGUGAGUAAUGCCUUGGAAUCUGCCUGGUAGUGGGGGAUAACGUCCGGAAACGGGCGCUAAUACCGCAUACGUCCUGAGGGAGAAAGUGGGGGAUCUUCGGACCUCACGCUAUCAGGUGAGCCUAGGUCGGAUUAGCUAGUUGGUGGGGUAAAGGCCUACCAAGGCGACGAUCCGGAACUGGUCUGAGAGGAUGAUCAGUCACCCUGGAACUGAGACACGGUCCAGACUCCUACGGGAGGCAGCAGUGGGGAAUAUUGGACAAUGGGGGAAAGCAUGAUCCAGCCAUGCCGAGUGUGUGAAGAAGGUCUUCGGAUUGUAAAGCACUUUAAGUUGGGAGGAAGGGCAGUAAGUUAAUACCUUGCUGUUUUGACGUUACCAACAGAAUAAGCACCGGCUAACUUCGUG